GCUUUGAAUAGAAGCUGGCGCCGGUGGUUUUGUGUGCUGUGCUAAGUGUUGCUGCUGGCAGCUGAGCAGACGGCAUGGGAAAGCUGGAAAGCCAGGACAUGAAUGCAGUGACCUAUGAUGAUGUACAUGUCGACUUCACCUGGGAAGAAUGGGCUUUGCUGGAUCCUUCCCAGAAGAGCCUCUACAAAGAUGUAAUGCUGGAGACCUACAGAAACCUCACUGCUAUAGGAUACAGUUGGGAAGACCAUAAUAUUGAAGAACUUUGUCAAAGUUCUAGAAGACAGGAAAGUUUCUGGAUUUAAGUUGAAAAAAGUUGCCAGGUGGUGGGACACCUUUGAAGGGAAAAGGUGACAGAGAACUACUAACAGUCACAUAGCUCAAACACUGCAGGAUACUCAAACUUCAAAUGCAAGGCCUGAUGGGGAGUCUCACAGAAGCACAAAUGGAUUAAGAAAGCCUUGGACUGGUGAGGCUCUCUCGUUGCUGUGCCUGUGAGAGUGAUUCUGGAGACAACUAACUCAUGAGGACUCUGACCUAAUGGAUGGAUCAAACCUGAACAGGCUGUCAGGAGGCUGCAGAGCUACCUGCCUAAGAAAGCAGGCCUCGGGAGGAUGCCCACUGCCUUGGCAUCUGGGAGCACUCCUUUUGGCUUCCUGUUCCCAUUCAAUAAGCUACUCUGCCGUGCUUUCCUGUCAUGAUGAACUGAACCCUCUGAGACUGUGAGCCCAAAUCAACCUUCCUCUUGUCUAACGCUAAUACUCUAGCAAUUAAAAAUAAAGAACUGCAUAAUCUGUCCUAGCAACACUGUAACACUUCAAAAAUUAAUACGCAUAUUGACAGGGAAAGUUCCUUUUUAAACAGUAACUUAUUAGGUGUUUGUGGGAUCUACGGAGCAGCACAAAAACUCAGGCAACUUAGAGUCAGCUGAGACCUGAAAAUUAUCAUAUUUUCUCAUUGAUUUGCACCUUUUGCUUUUUUUUUUUUAAUCACGACAAACCUCCCAAACCCCAGCUUCACAGAAAUACAGGGAAAGUACCACAAGCUAACCUGAAACUGGGAACUAAGUAUUUUGAGCUAGUGCAAGCUAGAUGUAGAACACUACCGUAUUUCCCACAAAUACGCAAACUGACCCAAUGCCCCUUGAGCGUUUGCUGCAGUGCCCAGGGUACCACAGCCACAGCAGAACCAAACACAAGACAAUACUCAAGAAUUCUAUGCAUCCAGAAUGCACAUAGCCUGGCAACACAAACAGGUGCAGCAACAUGCUGAUGGCUCCUUCAGUAACUGAAAGCCAGCUGUGUGCCCCCCCCCCCAGCCACAUGUUAAAGGGCCCGCAUAUACUGCUUUCUGCCUAAACUCCUGGUUCAGCAAGUACUGCAGCUCCUGAAUGUCAUCCAUAUACUGCUUGAACUCUUCUUGCUCUUCAACUGGAACCGAACUAAACACAAAAAGAGAUCAAAACAGUGUGUGCAUUCUUAAAUUUGAAAGAUGCCUUUGAUAAUGAAGUAAAGGGUCUGAUUUCUUGUUUCUGAAUUAUAUACCUUCAAGAUAACCAUUUAAUAGAUGACUUUAUCUUCUACUGGAAGAAAAAUAAUCAGAUGAAAGCCUUCAAUUUUAUACCAUCUCAUUGGCCCCACAUGCACACACCCAUCUACCGUCCCUCCCACCAGAAUGACCACAGUAUUCCUAUGAUGUCAAUGCUAGUUUACCUAACUGGGCCUUGGCUCUCAGCACCACACACUUCCCAGUGUGGGAUCAGCCACUCUCCUAUGCUACCAUCCUUUCCGUCAGCACCUACUUAUCUGUACUCAGUGGUUCUGUCUUAACUUGAUACAAGCUAUAAAGUCAUCAGAGGAAGGAGUCUCAGCUGAGGAAAUGCCUCCUUGACACCCAGUUGUAAGGCGUUUUCUCAUUUAGUCAUCAGUGGGGGAGGACCCAUCCAAUGGUGUGUGAUGCCAUCCCUGGGCUGCUGGUCCUGAAUUCUGUAAGAAGGUGGGGCUGAGCAAGCAAUGAGAAGCAGGUCAUUAAGCUGCACUCCAUCUAUGCAUCAGCUCCUGCCUCCAGGCUCAUGCCCUGUUAAGAGUUCCUGUCCUGAAUUACUUCAGUGAUGAACAGCAAUGCUGAAGUGUAAGCCAAAUAAACCCUUUCCUCCCCAACUUGCUCUUUGGUCAUGGUGUUUCCUUGCAGCAAUAGAAACCCUAACUACGACAAUAUCCAAAGGUCUAAGUUUUACUUUAGACUAUCUAAGGUAUUGUGGUGUGGGAAGUCCUGCUGUAUAUGUGUUGCUUUUAUUGGUUAAUGAAUAAACAAGCUGCUUUGGCUAGGCGGAAAUGAUACCUGUUUUGUUAUAUAUAAUUUUACUUUGUUAAAGUUAAAACCUUCCUCUUUAUUUAAACAAAAAAGGGGAAGUGGUGUGGGAAGUCCUUCUAUGUGUUCCUUUUAUUGGUUAAUGAAUAAAGCUCUUUUGGCCAGUGGCUUAGCAAAAUAGGGCAAGGCGGGAGUUCCAAGCAGACAGAGGAGGAGAAAGAAGGCAGAGUCAGUGAGAAGCCAAGUAGCCCCACCAGG